UACGUAGGGUGCGAGCGUUGUCCGGAAUUAUUGGGCGUAAAGGGCUCGUAGGCGGUUUGUCGCGUCGGGAGUGAAAUCCACUGGCUUAACUGGUGGCUUGCUUUCGAUACGGGCAGACUGGAGGUAUGCAGGGGAGAACGGAAUUCCUGGUGUAGCGGUGAAAUGCGCAGAUAUCAGGAGGAACACCGGUGGCGAAGGCGGCAUCCUGGACCGGCAUUGACGCUGAACAGCGAAAGCCAGGGGAGCAAACGGG
rnacentral:rRNA from 1 species